AGAGUUUGAUCCUGGCUCAGGAUGAACGCUGACAGAAUGCUUAACACAUGCAAGUCUUUGGCGAAGCUGUGCUUGCACAGCCUAGCCAAGGCGGACGGGUGAGUAACGCGUAAGGAACUUGCCCUGCAGUCAGGGAUAACAGACGGAAACGACUGAUAAGACCUGGUAAAGUCAGGCGGACUCAUGUCCAGCCUGAUGAAAAGAGAUGCUGCAGGAGAGCCUUGCGUCCUAUUAGCUUGUUGGUGGGGUAACGGCCCACCAAGGCGAUGAUAGGUAGCCGGCCUGAGAGGGUGGACGGCCACAAGGGGACUGAGAUACGGCCCUUACUCCUACGGGAGGCAGCAGUGGGGAAUAUUGGACAAUGGGGGCAACCCUGAUCCAGCAAUUCUGUGUGCACGAAGAAGGUUUUCGGAUUGUAAAGUGCUUUCAGCAGGGAAGAAAAAAAUGACGGUACCUGCAGAAGAAGCGACGGCUAAAUACGUGCCAGCAGCCGCGGUAAUACGUAUGUCGCAAGCGUUAUCCGGAAUUAUUGGGCAUAAAGGGCAUCUAGGCGGCCCUGUAAGUCUAGGGUGAAAACCUGCGGCUCAACCGCAGGCCUGCCCCGGAAACUACAGGGCUAGAGUGCUGGAGAGGUGGACGGAACUGCACGAGUAGAGGUGAAAUUCGUAGAUAUGUGCAGGAAUGCCGAUGAUGAAGAUAGUUCACUGGACGGUAACUGACGCUGAAGUGCGAAAGCUAGGGGAGCAAACAGGAUUAGAUACCCUGGUAGUCCUAGCUGUAAACGAU
rnacentral:rRNA from 1 species